GGUGAGAUGGCCGAGUGGUCUAAGGCGCUAGAUUUAGGUGCUCGGCAUUUGCCAAGUCACAUGACUCUAGUCUUCGGGCGUGGGUUCGAAUCCCACUCUCAUCA